CUGGGCAAACCAGCAGGGUCAUUUUUGGCUCAGGGCUGUAAACAGCAUGUUGGCUCCCCUCCAUAUUAUGCAGGGUCCAGAAUUGUGCUUCAGGUAUUCCUGCUGCUGGUACUGCUGCCAAAUUGCAGAUUACUUUCUUCAAAGGUUGUCUAUGCAAAUUUUUACGUGGGGGAAGUCUGCGGUAAGUUCUUCAUCUUGUACAAUCCAGAAGACUAUUUUUACCCAUUUGUGGUGAUCCUCUGAAAGUGAAACCCUAGAAACUGUUGUCACAGUAAAACUGCACAGUGUAGAUGGGAAACUGCAUCACAGAGGAAGAAAUAGGCAACGACUUUUUAGUCCAUCUUUGGAACUAUGCUUCACCGUCAUGGCCUUGUCCUGAAAUAAUUC